GGUUUGUUGGGUUGUGGGCUGGUGCUCAUCAUGUCUGGCUUGUGGAUCUGAGCGCUUUCUCCGUGACGCCCCACCAUAAAACUAAGCUUUGUUAGUUGACCUCUGCUCCGUUGCAGCGUAUACAGUAUACAUCAUAUGGUCCCGCUUAUGUGGAUGAAAGCCUUUGUCUUUAAACACCCACUUGCUUUUUAAUUUUGGGUUACGUUGGUCAGCACUUCGUCUUAAUAUAUCUGC
rnacentral:lncRNA from 1 species